AGAUGGCUUGCUUUUAUCCUCAUUUUUUUGGUAGGAUCUUUGGUACUACCAGUAAGGAAUAAACCUGUGGAUGCUCUGCUUCAUAGCUGCCAGGAAUAGCAGCCUUUGGAAUUCUUCAUUUAUAAGUCAUCUAAUCAAUUGAAGAUCAGGCAUCUGUAAUCUUCAUCCUCAGAUAAUGAAUAACAUCCAUUUUAUUUCUUUUACCAGCCCCUUUCAGUGUGAUAUGUUGGCCGUUAAGCUUUGUCUCCAGCUUUUCUCUAAUUUUAAAGAUGGUUUUCUGAGUCCAGCAAUAAUUUUUAAUUUUUUUGAGUAAAAAAUAAGAAAUUCUGUGUGUAUGAUAGAUAGAAAAGGAUGAAUAGUGUUGCUAAUUAACCAGAUCCACGCUACCAAAGAAAAAAUUGGAGGCAUUUAUGCCAAGUCAGGCCAAAAAUAAUAUUGUUUAAGGUACACAAGUAAUUGAAGAAUCAAGUUUUUCCUCCAUCUGCCAUGUAUCUGGGUAAUUGCCUUAUUUCCCCACCAUUUAUCACACUUUCCUUUUAAUUUUGCUGCAUAAACAUCAUGGCCUUACCUUUUGUAGUAUUGUUUUUUUCUUUAACUACAUACUGAUCAAAGGUUUAAAAAAACAUGACUAUAAUCAGCAUCAUUACUUAAAAGGUAAAAUUAUUAAAAUAUAGUAAUUCACUAGAUAGGACAACGCAAUUCAAAGCACCAAAAAGAUAACAGGUUUAGCAAAACGGGCAUAUGUUAGUGAUUAUGCAAUCAUUUAUUUCCCACAGAUGUCUUUUUAUAGGAAACUUCGGAAAAUCCCAGAAGAACUGACCGAGUCAUUUAAACCACAACAGGUUUCUUUCAACAUCAAAACCAUGGGUACGAGUGGGCGAGGAAUUUUUUUUUUUUAAGGCAGGGACAGCCUGGUUCUGACCGUGCAAAGCUGUGGCUUUGCCUCCUAUGGGCGCCUUGUGAGCAGCAGAUCCGACUUCCUCCUCAAACCAAGUUAUCCUGAAAACACCCAAGCAGAGGAAGCAUUUUUUCACCAUGACAUGGGAAAGGGCCACAGGGAUCCAAAUGGAAACGGACAUUUCAUGACCACUGAAGCACAACCACACUUUGGAGCCAGAAGAGGAGCUGAAAUGUCAAUUGGAGAGGACUUUCCUGCUCUAAAAGGUGAGGAAGACAGCACAAGUAACUUGCCAAAGAUAAGUGGCUAAUAAGUGGCAGAGCGAGGGUUUAAAGCAGGCAUGAAGGUGCUGCAGCCCAUGCACUUAGCCCCAACAUCAUGCUGCUCUCUGACUCACCAGCUAACCAAGUAAAUAAACGACAGUGAUGAGGUAAAUAAACAGGAUGAGGUAAAUAAAGAGGCUUACACAGUGCUCUAAAAGGAUGCUUUGAAGGAAGGGAAGAUCCCAACGAACCAGCCAUGAGAAGAACCCUUUACAGAGGGAAUAACAAGUGGCAAAGCUUCCCAAGUGAGGGUGGGGAAGAACCUGAUGGGUUUUGGAACUCAAAGUUUCUUCCUCUAACGUUCACCAAUUUAAUCUUUCCCUACAUAGAGUAAAUUGAGUUCCCCUGCUAUUAACAUUUGUUUUGUGGAUAAGUUAGUCUUUUUCUUUUUAAGAGUAUUAUUUAAACCAUUGAUCACUAAUUUCAUAAGCAAACCUUUGCCUUUUAAUAAAGCCUUUUGUAAAGACUAUGAGUUUCGUCCUUCAUCUCUGCUUCUUUUAUUUUAUUUUCUGUCACCUCAACUGAUGCCUUCCUCUUUCAAAUAAUCAUGUUUGCUAAAAAUUAUCACCACUGAUUCUUGGCAAAUUAAAGGAGAGAAUGAAAAUAUAUUUAGUGUCUACUAUGUGUCAAGCAUCAUGGAGAACAUUCUAAUACUUUAUCUCAUUUAAUUCUCACACUUAAGUAAGUUGUAUCACUAAAUCAUUUUACACAUGGAGGCCCUGAGGCCUAGGGAACUUAAAUUUGCCUGAGGCCACCCAGCUGGUUAGUAGCUAACCCAAGAUUUGAAAAAUAGGGGUCAGGUCCAGUGGCUCACAACUGUAAUCCCAGCACUUUGGGAGGCCGAGGCAGGCGGAUCACCAGGUUAAGAGAUCGAGACCAUUCUGGACAACAUGGUGAAACCCCGUAUCUACUAAAAAUACAAAACUUAGCUGGGUGUGGUGGCGUGUGCCUGUAGUCCUAGCUACUCAAGACACUGAGGCAGGAGAAUUGCUUGAAACCGAGAGGUGGAGGUUGCAGUGAGCCGAGAUUGCACCAUUGCACUCCAGUCUGGCUACGGAGUGAGACUCCAUCUUUAAAAAAGAAAAAAAAAAAUUGUUUGCUUGAUUGCAAAAAUUGCUCAAUUCUUUUCUAUCUAUAACUCACUUGAGACGAUGUGUGAUCUUACCUAUGGCAGUGGUUUCCUAAGACAGGGCAGGAUCCUCAGUGGAGUUGAGGGCCUGAGGAAGAGGCACACUUCUUCCUCAAGGACAAUCCGUACGAAAAAACAGAGAAUAGAAGUUUGAAAAGGUACCCCACUUUUCACAAUCCCUGUCUCUCUUUUUCCAGUUGCGAAUCACUGAACGCUACCACAUUUCCUUAUGAUACUCAGUGUUUAAGCAUUUAUAACAGUAACAGCAAAAAUUAUAUAGCUGCUAAUAUUUAUUGAGGACCUCCUGUGUGUCUGGUGUGUUGGUUUUAUUCAGUUAUCCCAGAAACUCUAUACCAGAUGUUAUUAUAUUCCUUAAUUUACCAAUAAACAAUAAAGCACAUAGGAGUUUGUUGAAUUUUAUGGUUCCUGCUUUUUCUCCCCGUAUCUGUAUCUAUCUAUCUUUAUCUAUCUAUCUAUCUAUCUAUCUAUCUAUCUAUCUAUCUAUCUAUCUAUCUAUCUAUCCAUCCAUUCAUCUCUGAUAUCAGGAUAUUUCCUACAAUUAAUGGCAUCUUAUAAUCUCAGUCAUAGCUUAGUUGUCAUUGCCUAUAGAUGCAUGCACUUGGUCAUAGGUGAUUGCAACAUUUUACUUCAAUUGUGUUAUACAUGCGUUGUUAGAACUAUGUAUGUUGAGUGUAAUUACCUUUUAAAAUAUUUUUCUAAUUGUUGUUUCAAAAUUUUGUUGACUCGUUGUGAUCAAAAAACGUAAAAUCAAAACUUACAGAAUAAAUUUCUAAUAAUUUGGCUAAAAAAUCCAACCUAGAGCCAAUGGCAUAGUACUCAAAGAAAUGAAAUGGCAUCAGUGUUCUUGUUGGCACUCAGAAUGAUAUUGUGUUAAAGAAAGCGAAGUGAUAAGCAAGCAUCAUGUUAUUAUUUAAUUAGCAUUGCUUUUACUUCCUUACAAGUACAUCAAAUAAGCCUCAAUGUUAGGAUCGAUGACAUCUUAAAUCUGACGAAAUAUGAUGAACAACUUGACCAAAUAAACAUAGAAGAUAACUGGUAAUGCCUACAAUCACAAGACUUGUGAAGGGUACACUAAGAGUUUAAACCUUGGUGAUUCAUGUCUCAGGCUCUUGAUUACUGAACUAUCCUGACUUUUAGUAGAGCAGUGAGAAUUUUUUUUCUGUCACACAUAUCACAGAUGGACCAACUUAUUAAAAUUAUCAAAAAUAAAAAUAUUUAUCAUGCAUUACACCUAGACAAAUACUAUAUAACUUAGAAUAUGGCAUAAUAAAAAUACAAAUUUUAUCACAGUUGAUUAUGGUCUCAGAAUAAGAUAAUAUGCUUUCAAAUAGUAAUAUUGAUUUGACCUAUUGUUAGUCUUCAAGGACAGUGAUUAAAGAUGGUUGCCAUUUAAAAACAAAACAAUGUGUCCAUUCUACAUGCUAGGUUCCCCUAACAUUGUAUUUCUUUUCCUAAGGGAUGAAACUGGUGGUCCAUCAGGUAGACAUACCUAGGUUUGGCACAUAAAAAGUAAGCCAAAAUACUCCAUUAUCUUAUAACAAGAACAAAAAAUAGCAAACAAAACUACUUAAGGAAGAGAUAAAGAGUUUUCUGAUGGAGGACUAGCCUUGAAAUUAAAUAUUUCCCUAUGCAAGUUGACAUUUAAGUUGUAUGACUUAAGAGAGAUAAGAAGAAAUUGUGUGAAACAUAACCUUAAAUAUUUUGGAUCACAUUUUUGUGAAUUAUGCAGCAUUUGGCACAAGUUUUAGGAAACAGAAACACUCUGGGGUAAUGAUGAGUAUUUGCACACACUUUAUGUGAACAUGUAUGCACACUAACACGGUUAUAUUUAUGGCAUAAUGCACCAGAUAUACAGAAUAUGUCUAUGUAAAAUUGUUUUAUUUGUAACAUUUCCAUCCUGGGACUAAAUGUUGGCUCUUUAAAAUUUGUUUUUAUGUAUGCUUCCAUGCCGAACUUACAGAAUAUAGUUGUUGUAUAGCACAAAUGUUCUAACUUUUCAUGGGCACUCAAAAAUGUCCUUUGAGAAGUCACCCUAGAGCAUCCUUAGAAAUGGCAUGUUGUAGUCUGGACAGAACAAAGCAGCAAAAAGAAAUAAGAUGAAACUAUGUUAUCAUUGGCUCUCCUUUAAACAUACGAAAAACUCUCAGAAGAGAUAAUGUGCUGUAGGGAAAAGCUCUGUGUGGGCACAGGGUGUGCACAGUGACCUAAUGGGCCUUUUCCAUCUCUAAUUCCUGUGAUACUGCAGAUCUAAGAGAUGGAGCUGGUAAUUGCUUACAACAUAACAGAUAUGUAGAGAUAUGUACAUAUAUUUUUUCCUCUUCCUCUCCUUCCCCCCACCUUCCCUGGAGUUCAGCUGAGAGUCUCUUUAAACAAACAAAAACUGUGAGAAACUAAGAGAAGUCAGAGACUGGCCUGCUUUUUAGAGGCAGAAUGUGGAAAGUAUGAAGAUGCUAAUUUGACUGCAAAGGCUGGAAAGCAAAGGGACCUGAGCCAUUUAUACUACAGGCAGUAGUUAAAAAGAGGGAAAAAAAAAAACCUUGAAAAAAAUGGGUGUAACCCUGGGCUUUGAUACAACUGGCCUUUCGGCCCCCACUUGAGAUUUGCACAUCCCCAAGGGAAGCUGUGGUUUGGAAUAAGAUGGUGCAUUUAAUUUCACUCAGAGAACUUAUUGGACUUGGCACCAAAAGAAAGAAUUUGAAGUAUAUUUUUUGUCAUGAUUAGUGGCCCCCUCACCACAACAUUUGAUUAUUUUGGAAAGGGAAAAGUUAAAUCCUUGUAAAGUUGUGAUUUACAAUUUGCAAGCAUCCAGGUAGGGAGUUUGACUUCUGCCAGCUUGAUCAUGGGAUCCACAUUUGAUUCUAGCUCAUUGAUGUUUACAAAACAGUUCUGUGGGGGGAAAUAGAGUUGGAAUUAUAUCCCUUGAUUAUCCUGGGUGAUUUUCUCUCCACACUACAUCUUUUCUCAUUCACGAUGAUUUUGGUCUCUUCUGGAACUCAUUGCAAGAAACUGGCAUGUGGCUGGUUUGCUUUUUGUUUCUAAUCUGCAGUAUCUGGUAUUUUUAUCAUGUGAUUCCUUUGCCCUCACAGUUAUGUAAAUCUUGAGGCAAAGGAGUUAAAAGGAGUUUCUAAUUUUAUACCUGAAAAUAGCUUUCACUGGAUGUUUUUUCUCAAGCUUUAUAAUUAAGAUUGGAGAUCUCGUGGGUAUUUUAAUACGUACUCAAAUAUGUCCAAACAGCCAGAGGGGAAGUGAAUGACCAACUGGGUAGGCUGAUGAAUAUUUUCCUGGUAAAUGCAUAACUUUCCCCACAACUGUGAUGCUUUAUCCUUUGACAUUAAGAAUGCUGUUUGCAGAAGUAACAUUCCUUUGAACACUCAGCUUUCUGAAAUGGUGUCCCACCGCAAGGACUGGAGAAGGGUAAACCUCAGGUUCUCCUCCUGCCUUUUGCUAAGUAUAUGUCUUGAUGACAAGCCUUCUGCUGAUGAGCUGUGUUUCUGGACCGAUCAUGGUAGAAGUCAAUUAACGUGUCCCUCACUUGGGGUUUCUCAAGGCUGCACUGAUGAGGAAACUGAAACAGAAAAUCCAGAGUAAAUUCCACCAGGCCACACAGCAAGGUCUGAUAGAGCCAGGAGAGACUUUAUGAAAUCCAGACUCUCACACUAAUGCUCUAUCAGCUAGACCUCCAUGUGAGUCUCCCCAAUGUAGGUAGGAAGUGCUUUCCCUAAAAUGCUCAUAAAGCAAAUCAGAGCAAUGCUGCAUUCCAUGUGAUUUCUAAUUUGAAAUGCAAACAAUUGCCAAUUUGUUUGACUUGUAUUUAUAAUUAUUUCCUUGUGAAUUACUCAUCACUAAAUGCUUUAUAAAUAUUUUCUCUUUUUUUCCUCAAUGUCUAUGGAAUGAUCACAGCAUAGAAAAUGUUGGCUUUCAAGGAUUUAUUAAUAUCUCCUUUUGAAAUAACAUGUAUUUGUAAGACAGAAUAAAAUCACUUUAAAGAAACAAAUCUUGAAUUUGAUUUCCCGUUCAGACAAUGACUUAUUUGAUGUCCUUAAUAAGAUGAACUACAUAGUGACUUUUAUUUAAAGGAUCCAUUAUAUAAGAAGUAGAAAAGUAAAUAUGCACACUUAGAUGAGCACGGCCUUGCCAACAGCUCCUUCUGAUAGAUUUUUAGACUUUACUAAGUUUGUGUAAGCCGAAGGCAUCACACUGUAUGCAUUACUGAAUCUAAUUUCACUUUUGCCAAUAACAAAAAAAAACAAGCUAGUGGCAUAAUAUGGCAGUAUGCAUCAUAUGCUUACCAUAAUCUCAAAAUUUAACUCUUUGUAAAGAACUGAGCCAAUUAUUUCUGUCUUUUUGAGCAUGAAACCUAAUUUAAAGCAUUUUUCUAGAUGAUAAAAUAAAUACUCCUUUACUCAGAAACUUAACAAAUCCAGAAUAGAAUACAGAACUCAGUAGCUAGAUUCAGAAUAUUGUUCAUACUAUUUGCUUGGAAUCACAUCAAUAUCACGUGAUUUUCAAGGAAGAAAAAUAAACAGUAGUUCCCCGCUUUUUUGGUCCUGGUUGCUCCCAACUGGCAAUAGCGUAUGUGUGUUUUAGUCUGUGCUUUGCAAAACUUGAUGUGAAUUCAAACCAGCACAAAUAUUAAAAAGUGCAAUUUCCACUUUUGAAAACAAAAUUUAGAAAUUGUUAAAUAUUAGCAAUUUGUUUAAGCAAGGGAGGAAAAGGAACCAUUAGAAGAAAUUCAGAGGCAUUAAAAGGGUCACAAGGAUUGACUUAUGAGAUCAAACAAACAAAAAAAAACACACAAUGCUAGAUCUGUUGCUGGACAAAACCAUGGUAAGCCAAAGCUCUAAUAGUGAUAUAUACAGUCUGGGGAAAGCAACUUCACAUUUUGGUGUAAUUGAGGGAGGAAAAUGACCCAGUUCUACUUGCUAAUAAUAAGUAUCAUUAGGUAAAGGAUAUAGUAAUUGAAAGGCAACUCCUCAGAUUUAAAUAUUAUUUAAAGUAUCUUUAAGCAAGUAGAUAAGUAUAGCAACAAUCAAAAAUGCUUAUUCAACUCAAUUCCUACUUUCCCUUCCCAAAUCUUAAAAUUGAUAAAAAACAAACACACAAACAAAAACAAAACAAAACAAAACAAAAACAAAAACCAGAGAAAGAGAGAGCUAGUUGGAUACCAAUGUCUGAACUCCAUACCCCAACAGGGACCUCGUUUUGUAUGACUGCCACAGAAACGAGCACAGAGAGGGGCAAGAUAAUGUAAGGAACAGGGUAGGGGAGGAAAAAAUGGCCGUUUUAAAAGGAAUGACAAGGUUGGGUGAAACAUAAAAAGCCACUCCAUAGCCAAGAGAGAUUAAAAAGAGCUCAAGAGGGUCAUGUUGCUUCCCAUUUCCCCUUACCUGAUUCUUGCUGCCACUCCAUUGGUUAAGUUUUACAGGUUGCAGUAACUGGCAAGGAAGAGGUGUGCCUCUCAGCUGUUCACAAUGCAGAAUCUUGAAAAGGUCAACAUAGUAGCAGUAUGACAGGCCAUGUAAGUCAUUAUGUGCUUUAUAAUUCAUUUGUAAGUAGAAUGAGAACUGGAGCAAAUUAAAUGUAAACUCUGCCAUAGGACCUCUAAAAACAUGUUAGUCAUAUGGAAAGCUAGGUUUUGUUUUCUAUCUAGAAAGACAAACAAAUAUUUCUUCACAAAUGUGUUACUUUCCUGAGGAGAGCAGAAAUGGGAGAUAAAUCCAUUUGCUGCAAAGUGGUUUAAAGAAAAUAUAUUGGCAGCAGGAGGAAGGUGGUUUAGGGAGAUGAUAUGUAAUAGAAUACAUAUACAAGUACUAUGAGCGUUGAGAUUCAGGUUAGUGCUAAUUAGACAUUUCCUGAUCAGUGAAAAUCGUAAGACUUUCAAAGUCCUGUAUUUUAAGAAAUAGUAAAAUCUAUCAGGUAAGAUAAUAUAUUUAUGACUUACCGCAGUAUUUUUGUGAUGGUUCUGUUCUUUGUGAAGCCUUAUUUUGCAUUGAAAUUGGCACAAUUUUACACCGUUAACCAAAUUUUCUUUUAAUGGAAACUCACACACACAUAGCACAUUCUUUAGUACUAAGAUGCUAAAGUUGCUGAACAUGCUACAGGUGAUUAUGAGGCAGUAGUGAAAGAGUUAAUUAUCCAUCAUUCCUCCCCCCUACCCUAGACAUCCCACUGUGCCUCUGUUAUAGACUUAGGCACAGUUCCUAAUGGCAAAAUCUAUUAGAAUGCACAAUAUUCUCCCAAGGGAGCUGGUGGAAGUUCUGUCACUUGAGACAUUUAAAACUACACUGGGUAAAGCACUAGAGAGCUGUGAGUGCAUGUGUUCCAACCCUCAGGACAGAAAUCAUGACCUAAUGGGUGAUUUCUAUCCCUUAAUGUCUCUGAUUCGCUGGGUGUUUUAAUAGCUCCCUCAUAUUUAAGUAGAUGACCAACGGUCUAUUUUUUUUUAAUGGAACUUGAGUUUGGUCUGUAAAGUGUCAAGACAGAGGUGACAAAACAAACCACAGGGGAAUGGAGGAAGCCUCGUGGAAAUUUAGUUGGUUUGAAGGAGGGUUGAGCAAACACAACAGUGUAUUCGGGUUUAGCAAAUGCCUUGACUUCUUUUUUUUUUUUUUUCAAAUGUUUUCAGUUCAAGGAAACCCAAAACACAUUUGGCUAAACAGUUUUUCCUUAAUUUUCAAACCCAUGUGUAUUUCAAGGGAAAUUUAAUCCAUGUGUUUCUGAUUCAUUUACACUUAGCUCAUCAAAAUGUGGUUUCAUAAGACCCAUUUGAUGUCUAAGAAGCCUUGUGAGCUUUUUUUUUUACAAGCUUUUUUUCUUUGAACCAGGAAGUUACAUUUUGCCAAGAGUCAAUGGAACUUCAACCAGAAAAGAAUCAGUUUUGUUUGGGAUCUUGGAAUCCUCAAAGUUGGUGGGAGCUAAUGAGCCGGGAGGGGAGGGGAGGAGAAGCUGAUUCAGAGAGCAGGAACCUUCCCAUUUCUAAUAUGUUAUCUGUUCAGAUAACUUGAAAAUCUAAUUUUCUCUCAGUUUAUAGUAGAAAAUUCAUCUUCAAUUUUUGAAAAUCUUGUGGAAAACAUGAGCAUGAAUUUUAUUACAGGGUCCAAUGCUGUCACAUGAUCUGAUAAUCAUCCACUAGUGAGUCUGUGGGUGAUGAGUAUCAGAGCAGUAAUGACAUACUUAUCUUAGAGGCAAUUAUUAAGAAGUGACUCACAAAAGUGUUUAGAUUGGCCAUUUUUUUAAUAUUUAAAAAAGCUUCCUCUGCCUGGUUGUUGUCGCUCUGUGCACAACACUACUGGUUAUUUAAGAAACAAGACAAAUAAGACUCAGUGAAUGUGCUGAUUCAGGUGCACACAAUCCCCUAUCUCAUUGCUGGUGUUGCUAAAGAGCAUCUGGGGUAAGGAAACAUGCAUCCGGUCCAUCCGUCAAGAGUCCAUGAGAAAGCCAACAAUGUUUGCACCUGCAGGAUGAAUUACAUCUUUGGUGAGUGUGGGAAGCUACAUAAUGAGACAGCUGAGUGGCUGACAUUUCUUUUUUCUUGCUCCUUCUGCACCUUCUUUUUGCACUACCUUCAUUUUUCCCACUUCCUCUCCCUUUUCCCCACCUUUAUACAAUCACCACCAAUAAUGGAGCAAAUGUGGCACAUCCAUCCAAGGAUGGGUUGACAUGGUUUACACAUUGCUUUCAUUUGGUUGUUCUUUGGAUGAAUUCUUCCUUGAGAACAAGAUAAUGAAAACCAUACGGUCAUUGAGCACACAAUCUGCCUUCACUUUGGCUGUUCCCUCGCAGCCCGUUUCAUUUUAUAAAGCCUGGUCCCUGAGUUUACGCCAGUAGAAGAUCCCAAGCAGGUGGAAUCCUGCCCCCUAUGGGCUUGCAGAAUUCAGCAAACACUGUCAGUUUAGCUCUUGCCUGUCACCCAUACAUCAGAGAACUUAUUUGAAUGGAACAUCUCUUGCUAGUCUGGUAAAGGUUUAGAAACUUGGCCUUCUAAGUAUUCAUGUAAGUUCUGUUCUGGGACCUUCAUUGUAGGAACUGAAAAUGAAAGAACCAAAAUAGAUAUCAACAGAUAAUUAAAGGAACGUUUGGAAGUUUUUUACCUCAUGCAAACCUCAAACUCUGAACCACUACUGCCUAAAGGAAAUAAAUACUGUGUUAUGACUUUGAAAAAGUGAAGUGGCCAUGUUAGGAGGCCCAGAUGGUAAGGAGCUGAGGGAGGCCUCCAGGAAAUGGCCAGCAAGAAGCCGGCUCCCUCAGCCUUGUAGCUACAAGAAAAUGAAUUCUGCCAGCAAUCUGAGUGAACUUGGAAGCUGAUUCUUCCUCUGUCAAGCCUCCAGAUGAGAAUCUCAGUCACAGCCAACACCUUGACUGCAGUCCUUAGCAGAGGACUCUGCCAAGCUGUGCCAGGACUCCUGACCUGCAGAAAUUGUGAGGCCUUUGUUUGGGUCACAGAAUAUCUUGAAUGCAGAGCUCACACAGGUUGUGAUAGGCUUUACUUCUAUCACUAACUGGAAACAAAGAAAAUCUACACUGAAGGAAACCUUUUCAAGUCGAACUUCUGUCAAGCAAUUGGAGGAGCAUGUGGUUUUGUGGUCAUGUGGAUUCGCUAUAUGGAAUAUGAUUGAAGGAUGAUUAUAAUUACAGAAAUUAUAGGUACUAACUUUCCAUAUUUUUGGGCUUUAUACAAAUUUCUGCAAAGUUCCAGAGAAUUGCCUUUACCAAUGAAUGUUUCCUAAAAUGUGUUGUCUAUUCAUUAUCUCUUCCUUUCUUCUCUACAUCUACUAUUAGUAAGAGUUCUAAUAUAAGAGUGCUGCAAUGAUGAUAUAUAAAUGACAACUCAAUUGAACAAAACUAUUCAAUAAAAUGAAUUUGCAUUUAAAUAUCAUAUUUUAAGAGAUAAAAAAGUUUAUGAUAAUAAAAUGGGAAUGCAGUCUACUACAGGGAAAAUAACUAGGACUUAGAAUCUGUAACAACCAGAGACUGAAUCCUGCCAAUUACUUUAUCAGAGGCUUUGGGCUAAUUACCUCAACUUUCUUUCCUGAACCUCAGGUUAGUCAUCUGUAAAAAAACAAAAAUAAAAAAAUUUUAAUAACGACAUGCAAUAUUUUCAAUAUGCAAAAUUAUAAGUUUAGGAAAAAAUUGAUUUGAAUUGUUUAGGAAGAUCUAUUUUUCUACAAUUGUGGUAAAACAAUUUAAAUAAGACAAGAGCAUAUGUAUGACAUAGGUGUAAUAAUGCAUAUCCCAAAAAUUCAUUUGAAAAAUAUUUGAUGAACCAUUUGUAUGUAUAACACACUCUUCUUAAAAUCUAGAGAUAUGACAGAGCAAGAUAUGGUCCCUGACUCAUGGAUCUUACAUUAGUAUUGGAAAGAAGCCUAUUAAACUCUCCAUCCUAUCAGCUUCAAUUUCAGCUAUUAGCUUUACUUUCUACUGUCUUUUUCAAGUCAAGAUCAAAUGGAGAGCAAAGGGAGUGCACCUUUCCUCUGCAGUUCCAUCACUGUUCAACAUAAUCAUCUCUACCUACAUUUCAGAACAAUUCUGAAUAUUAAUAAGACAAUGUCUAUGAGAUGAGCUCAUCUGGGAAAGCAUAAUAUAAGUGUAAGCCAUUAUAAUUUAUUGCUUCUCAAAUGUUAUAUAAGAUAUUCAACUGGAUAUGUUAUUAAUAAAAAAUUAUAAUAAAGAGAAAUUUAGAAUGAGAAAACAUUUGGAAUUCUUCAUUACUUGAUAUGAAUAGUCUAUAAUCUUUUUAAGUCAUUCUGGCUUUAUGAGGCACUUUGUCUAUUGAGAUAGAUGGAGCAUCUAGAAAGGAAAAACUUUGACAUGCAUUUUGAGGCUCUUUUGAAGCAAAAGAAGAACAGAAAGUCUUUUGAGGUUUUUGGAUGUACUAGAUUGAACCAUAUGUAAUUACUGAGACAAUAUUUUUUGUUCUCCAAAAUGACAUUCCAUAUGAUUCACUGUAGUUUGUACUUUAAAAAUUGUUUCCUUGAUUUGCCUUUUUGUUCAUUGAGAAAAAAUUAUCGAGCCAACCUGAUAUUGUGUCAUAAAGAAUUUGUAUUAGUUGUAAGAAAUAACAACUUACUUUUGUAUUUGUUUUUUUCUUUUUCUAUUUGGUUUAUAGGUAAAGUUAUUUUUAUAAAUUGGUGUGGAUUCCCGAAAUAUAUUAUGAAACUAUCCAUUUCUGAAAGGUGUUAACUUGAAUAUAUCCUUAGUUCAUAGUGUUCAUGGAUUUCAUUCUAAGUUUAUGUCAAAGUGUAGUAUCUGAGAAGACCAAACCAAGGUAAGGAGGUCUGCUUGAGAAGAGAAGCUUCGCUGACCAUCCUGUGAAGUCAGUGACAGAAAGUGCAAAUUUCUUUAAAAUAUUUAUGAAUCUAAGUGCCAUAACUAUGGAAAGUUCACAAUUGAAAUUCUUACCAUAUCUGAAUACAGUGACUAAAAGGAAUAGAUGAUUUCAGGAGAUUUUUCAAAUUAGAUGCUGGGUGUCAGAAUUGAGUGGAUCAGAACUCCAGUUAGCACGCUUAAAUUCCAAUUAUAUAUAUAUUUUAAAACAAGGAUAUCCCUGGAACAUGUAAUAAGUAGUCCAGAAAUUGGUGCAGCUAAUUAGCAAGAGGUUGUGGUCUUCUCUUGAGACCACUGCCAAGAAUGAGGACAUAAUCUUUGAUUCUUCUGAGAUACCUCACAGAGAAGAUAAAUUAAGAGAUAAAAAAGAGUUUUCUAGAAUUUUUAGCUUAUAGUUGAAUAAUAAGGACAUUUUUAUGACAACUGGAACUAAAUUCUCAAAAUUAACUUUUAAAGAAAUUACUUCAUGUUCUUUAUCUUCGUAAUAGC